rnacentral:rRNA from 1 species
AACGAACGCUGGCGGCGCGCCUAAUACAUGCAAGUCGAGCGAGAAGGUGUAGCAAUACACUUGUAAAGCGGCGAACGGGUGAGGAAUGCAUGGGUAACCUACCCUCGAGUGGGGAAUAACUAGCCGAAAGGUUAGCUAAUACCGCAUACGUUUCCGGAACUUCGGUUUCGGAAAGAAAGCAAUACCGUGGGUAUUGCGCUCCUGGAUGGGCUCAUGUCCUAUCAGCUUGUUGGUGAGGUAACGGCUCACCAAGGCUUCGACGGGUAGCUGGUCUGAGAGGACGAUCAGCCACACUGGCACUGCGACACGGGCCAGACUCCUACGGGAGGCAGCAGUAAGGAAUAUUGCGCAAUGGACGAAAGUCUGACGCAGCGACGCCGCGUGGGGGAUGAAGGUCUUCGGAUUGUAAACCCCUUUCGGGAGGAAGAUGGAGUGGGUAACCACUUGGACGGUACCUCCAGAAGCAGCCACGGCUAACUUCGUGCCAGCAGCCGCGGUAAU